UACGUAGGGUGCAAGCGUUGUCCGGAAUUAUUGGGCGUAAAGAGCUCGUAGGCGGUUUGUUGCGUCGGCUGUGAAAACCUGAGGCUCAACCUCAGGCCUGCAGUCGAUACGAGCAGACUAGAGUGUUGCAGGGGAGACUGGAAUUCCUGGUGUAGCGGUGAAAUGCGCAGAUAUCAGGAGGAACACCGGUGGCGAAGGCGGGUCUCUGGGCAACAACUGACGCUGAGGAGCGAAAGCGUGGGGGAGCGAACAGG
rnacentral:rRNA from 1 species